GGGUGCGAGCGUUAAUCGGAAUUACUGGGCGUAAAGCGUGCGCAGGCGGUUUUGUAAGACAGAUGUGAAAUCCCCAGGCUCAACCUGGGAACUGCAUUUGAAACUCCCUUUCUUGAGUAUCGGAGAGGAAAGCGGAAUUCCUGGUGUAGAGGUGAAAUUCGUAGAUAUCAGGAGGAACACCAGUGGCGAAGGCGGCUUUCUGGACGGUUACUGACGCUGAGACGCGAAAGCGUGGGGAGCAAACAGG
rnacentral:rRNA from 1 species